CCUUCAUUGGGUGGCCAGGCUGGGUAAAAUGGUGUCCCACAGGAGUGCAAUACGAUUCUUCUUUGUGGUGUUUAAACUAGGGAUCGACCGAUAUAGGUUUUUUUUAGAGCCGAUAAUCUGUGAACUUUCAGGCCGAUAACUUGCCGAUAUUCUGUACAUUUACCAUUUUGAAAAAAUAAACUAUUUCUAAAGGUAAAUGCACAAAAUAUACAUGCCACAUGUAGUGGAUGCAGUGUGUUUAGACAGGGAAGCUGUGUGUGUGUGGAGGAUGCAGUGUGUGUUUG